UGCUCAGGUGGUCUUGUAAGUCAAUGGUGAAAGCCCAGAGCUUAACUCUGGAACUGCCUUUGAUACUACAAGGCUUGAGUAUGGAAGAGGUUGAUGGAAUUUCGGGUGUAGCAGUGAAAUGCGUAGAUAUCCGAAAGAACACCAGUGGCGAAGGCGGUCAACUGGUCCAUUACUGACACUAAAGCACGAAAGCGUGGGGAGCAAACAGGAUUAGAUACCCUGGUAGUCCACGCCUUAAACGAUGAAUACUAGACGUUGGGGUUAAACUCAGUGUCGCAGCUAACGCAUUAAGUAUUCCACCUGGGGAGUACGAUCGCAAGGUUGAA
rnacentral:rRNA from 1 species